UUUGAUAUAAUCAGUAACAAAUCUUGAUCGUAAACCGAUUUACAUUAGAAAGAAGAAUUCAUAAAAUAUCACCAAACAGUUCUACGGAAAGCAAAGGACAACUCUAUUCACGAAAAGGUUAUGAUGCAUCCAAACAGAUGAACAUUCGAGUCUUCUGCAGAAGUUUCAAACCCAGAAGGGCCAAAACCCAGUGUCCCUCCCUUCAACCUCCUACUUCUUCAAACUAAAAUCUUCAAUGGAGGAACCUAGCACAGCCUUAGAAAAUCAAGUUGUGGGAUGAUGAAGGUGGUAAGGUUAAAGGAGGAGAAAUUCCAAGGUUUGAAAUUAAAGUGACCCAUGAAGCGAAACUUAAAGAACUGUUGCAUAAGAUUAAUUCUCUUGAAAUUAAGUUAUGCUUUGAUGGUGUAAAAGAGUUCAUUAAGUUGCUAAAAGGUAAUUCUGAAAGUGAAUUGCUUCAUUUAUAUGUAUGCACUUCUUUAAGUGCUUGGAGCUUCUAGAUGCUUGGAAGUUUUGAUGAAGGAAACUUGGUUGUCUUAUGUAUUGUCAUUGAUAUCUACUAUUUUGGGAUGGGGUAUAUAAUCCCAAG